rnacentral:lncRNA from 1 species
UAAUUUGAACAAUGAGGUCAAUAAUGGAUCGUUAUUACAUAAAGACGUUGGAUGAUGAGGAAAAAAUCAGUUGUUUAAAAAAACUGUGGGGUAUAAAGGCGUUGUGGUAUUGCUGGUGUAUCAGUUGAAGAUCAGCCUCAACAUUGAAGUGAUUCUCUGCGGCAUCGUAGAUUCUCAAAGCCACAUAGCUAUCUCUACAGCUUCAGAAGUUAAGAUGGCUAUCGACAAAAUCAUCGUAAUCGCUUUAAUGGUUAUUUUGGGGCUGAUCGGAGGUGCGUAUUCUGAGGAUUGCGGCGCGGCGCCAGCGAGUAGAAGAAAGUAAGACGGCAAAUUCGACGUGCGAAUGCUACGGAGGACAGGGCAUGUGCAAACCGGCGUGCGGAGUCAGGAGGAUAUCAUUCAUAAUAUUACUUCGAUUUUUCGACAAAGGUUCAAGCAUUACGCUUAGCUUGAAAAAUUGUAACUCUCAAGAUUGAAUUUGUCGUUAAAAUGUAAAAGGGGUGCGAAUUGUUCUAAGCCUCGCAAUCACAUGGACACGCAGUGGAUAUGUCCAGUGGGCUGAAUGUUGCAAUUGAUAGACAAAGCUUUGGACAAAGAUGACAAAAGGGAUAUGGAGGGGUCCUAUUGGUGGAAGCGGGUGGUUGCAAUGGACAAAGGAGGUGGGUAAUAGACUAACUAUUGACAACCCACGAGACACCCUUUAGUUAGUCCAUUAUUUACCCCCUUAGUCUAUGGGAACCACGAAUUUCAACCAAUAGGAUCCCUCCAUACUCUCUUUGUCUGCUUUGUCUAUCAAUUCCACAGCCCGCUGAAAAUUUUGGAGGCAGCGAUUCCUUUUCUUCAUUUCUUUUAUUUUUUUUUGUCGACGGUUUUUAUCUCCUGUGCCACCAUAUGAUUUCGGCUUACGUCUACUCCUGAAUUGCAGUCUCAAAAGCUGAUACCUAUUUUACUGUUUUACGGAAAUACAGCGCGUUCAAAAUUGUAAAAACUUUUUUUGGGCCCGUUGUUUUCUUGUGUCAUUUUAAGGAAACCGACCGCAUCGUAGAAAUGUGCCAAAAUCUUGAUCAACGCCUUGAGUUGACCUUUUAGCGUUGCAAACUCAAAGCGCUAUAACAGGACAUUACAGUAGCCUGGAGCAAUUUACACCCCUAAAAAGUGAAUCCUUUGUCAAAGUGUUAUGCCUGUGAAAUAUAAAUGAGAUCUCAAACAUGACAGCGCUUUUUCAAUAAUAUUGUUUGGUGAAACGAUGUUGGCUUGCACUUCGUCGUUCCCCGCACAAAGGAACGUAACUCUAUUCCAAGGUUGCAAAAUUGACUCAAA